CGGGAUGUAGCUCAGCCUGGGUAGAGCACUACGUUCGGGACGUAGGUGUCGCUGGUUCGAAUCCAGUCAUCCCGACCA
rnacentral:tRNA from 2 species